UGGUGCGGCCGCCCCCCAACCCAGCAGGAGGAAAACAAAGCGGAGCCCACGAGGCUUCUGGGAAAUGUAGUUCGCCGGGCUUCGCGCCUACCGGGCAGCGUUCUUUGAUUGGCCGGCAGCAAAGAGCUGCUGCGGCACAACCUCCAGUCUCCAUGGCAACAGAGCGUGAUCCUUUCCCGGCCCCGCCCACUCUGAGAUCGGAACAGUCCCCGCCCACUCCAGGCCCUGUUCAGCUCCGGCGUUCUGUUUCCAGCGUCUGCACUUGAUGAGAAGUGGAGUUGGGCGGGAGCGAUAAUGCAAAAAUCACCUAAAACUUGGAGCGAGAAGCGGGGAGAGUUUCAAAGGAAAACAAGCUGCAGAAGUUGCAACACAAAGGUUUGGAGGCCUGGCGGGUGCUCUAACUUGGAGGGAGCAAGUUCAAAGGCAGUAGGACUUUUUCCCUUUCCUGAUUCUGAAAGAUGCUGGACACAAACGUGGAAUUACUUUUUCCAACAGUCAUUAUAUUCCUAGGUUGCGUUGCUCUUUUAUUAUUUCUCCAGUGGAAGAACUUGCGUUUACCCCCGUGCAUCGGGGGCUGGAUUCCUUGGAUUGGAGCUGGAUUUGAGUUUGGAAAAGCCCCUCUAGAAUUUAUAGAGAAAGCAAGAAUCAAGUACGGACCAAUAUUUACAGUCUUUGUUGUGGGAAAACGAAUGACCUUUGUUACUGAAGAAGAGGGAAUUGAUGUGUUUCUAAAUUCCAAAAAAGUAAAUUUUGAACUAGCAGUGCAAGAGCCCAUUUAUCGUACAGCAUCAAUUCCAAAGAAUAUAUUUUUCACACUUCAUGAAAAACUCUAUAUUGUGAUGAAAGGGAAAAUGGGGACUUUUAACCUCUAUCAAUUCAAUGAGCAAGUGACUGAAGAAUUGCAUGGACAACUGGAGAAUUUAGGCACUCAUGGGACAAUGGAUCUGAACAACUUAGUAAGGCUUCUCCUUUAUCCAGCCAUCGUGAAUAUACUCUUUAAAAAAGAUUUUUUUCCCACAAACAAGAGUAAAAUCAUGGAAUUCCAUCGACAUUUUCAAACUUAUGAUGAAGGUUUUGAGUAUGGGUCCCAGAUGCCAGAAUGUCUCCUAAGAAACUGGUCAAAGUCCAAAAAGUGGCUCCUAGCACUGCUUGAGGAAAACAUUCCAGAUAUAAAAACUUAUAAACCCACAAAAGUUAAUUCCAUGCAGACAGUGAUGCAGGCUGUGCUGGAUGUUAUCAAGAUGGAAACAAAUGAGCAAGAUGGUUCCAAUCAUGCGCUCUUACUACUCUGGGCUUCUCUGUCCAAUGCUGUUCCCGUUACAUUUUGGACAUUUGCAUUUGUUCUUUCUCAUCCCAGGAUCCACAAGACUAUUAUGGAAGACAUAGCCUCUGUGUUUGGCUCAGCAGGAAAAGAUAAGAUUAAAGUGUCCGAGGAUGACUUGAAGAAACUCCUUCUAAUUAAGUGGUGUGUUUUGGAAACCAUUCGUUUAAGAGCCCCUGGUGUCAUUGCUAGAAAGGUGGUGAAGCCAGUCAAAAUUUUGAAUUACACUGUUCCUUCUGGUGACUUGUUAAUGUUGUCUCCAUUUUGGCUACAUAGAAAUCCAAAGUAUUUUCCUGAACCUGAGUCAUUCAAACCUAACUGUGGAGUUACAGGGCUGAACAGAAUCCUAAGAGGUCAAUUAGCCUGUUCUCUGCCUUCAGGAACGUUGGAAAAAGGCAAAUUUAGAGAAGCAUGCUUUCUUGGACAGCUUCAUGGCAUUUGGAAGUGGGAAGUACCAGUGUCCUGGAAGGUGGCUUGCUCUGUUAGAGAUUCAAAUAUGUGUUAUUUUAAUACUUUAUAAAUAUGACUGUACCCUUCUGGACCCAUUACCGAAACAGUAAGGCAAGGAAAAGACAUAAAUGGCAUCCAAAUUGGUGAUGAAGAAGUAAAACUGUCCCUGUUGCAGAUGAUACGAUACUAAGCAUAGAAAACCCAAAAGACUCCAUGAGAAAACUACUGGAACUAAUAGAUUUAGCAGAGGAGCAAGAUACAAGAUAAACAUAGAAAAAUCAGUUGGAUUCCUAUACACCAAUAAAGAGAACUACAAAAAGGUAAUCAGAGUUCUCUCCAUUUGGUGGGUGUCCAGCAACCAGAAGGACAAUGCCGAAUUGAGUAUAAACAAAGAAAAUGAUGCUUGCUGGGCCUCAGGAGGGCCAGGGCCUCCAGGAGGAGUGACUGCCAUCCAUCUGCCACCAUCCGCUAACCUGGAAGCCAUCGCACCUAGACCUGAGCUCUACGGCAGCAUGCUGCUUAACUUUGUCUUAGAAUUUAGUUCAUCAAAUAUCCUAAUGGUGCAUAUGUUUGGUAUUUUAACAGUGGACCAAAGAAUCUGACAUCACCCUCACUGCUUCAGAGACCUGAAUAGAUGGUUUACAAAAAAAUACUUAAAUGACCAAAAACAACAACAACAAAAAAAGGCAUCUCUUAAGAAGUUAGAAUUUGGUUUUCAUGUAUAACUUGAUUAAAGCUUUAAAUAAAAAUAAUAUCAUUUGAAUGAAAAUCUUCGUGUAUUAUUAAAUUCACUAUGAAAACAGCAUACUUAAAUUUCUUUUCUGGAAAGAACCGUCUUAGACUCUAAAAAAAUUAAUGAUAUCUGGAAAAUUUCUGUUUCUCUUAAUAUGAUUCCUAACUAGCACUUGGAACUCUUAAGUUCUGUUGAAGUAAUUCUUAAUUGUAAACAUGUCUAAUGUUAAACAUGUGAAUAAAAUGGUAACUUCCGAAGUCCUAUGAGGACAGCGAUCAUGUCUUAUGCUCGUUUCUGCAAUCCACUAUACCUGCGACAGCACCUUCUCUGCAGACAAUAUUCAGUAAAUGUAUGUUGAUGGAUGUAUUGAUUUGCAUUUAUUGUAGAGAAACAACUUUCACCAAAGCCUUCGGCAAUGAAGAGAUUUUUAUUGUGACAGAUGAGAAAACAAAAAUGGGAAACUGGCUGUAAGCACUCAGGCUAUAAAUAGACCCAAAUCCUAAGAAGUAUAAUCUAUAAAUGCUUUUUAUAUAAUUUUGACAGGCGCGGAUUCGUUAUGAGUAAAUUACUUACAGACUAUGGCUGGUUAAAGACAAAGAACUGAGGUCAUGAUUGGGUGACCUUUUCUUGUUUUUCUUUUCUAACAGUCCGUUCUCUUGGCCUAGGGGCCCUACGUCUGUCAUAUGAUGGUUGUUUCUUAUUUGUUUUGUGGGCUAUCUAUGAUAUUGGGUAGAUCUUCAACUUGCUUCCUGGGUUAAAUUGUUAUUUAGUUGUGGUACCCACUUCCACUGUCCAUUGAACCAGUUAGUGCACUCAGUCCUACUUCUUUGAUGUAGUUGCCUGUUCUAAGUUCUUCAGAUUCUGACAAGCAAGUUGGCCUUUUGUGGUUAUGGCCACUGUGAUUAGGCUAACCCUUUAUCACAUUUUAAUCAAGAGGAAAGAACUCUUGACUCAAGGUGCUUGCACUUACAGUUUGACAGAGAUAAUAUUUUGCUAAUGCAUAGAAACACACGUGAUGAUAUGUCAAGGCAAAAACUACAUUUGAUUCUAUUGCUGAGAACUUUAAGACUGUGAAAUAUUUACCGUGCAAUACAGGAAAGAAAUCCUGUCGUGUUCAAGGGAAACAUAUGACACUAAUACCAG